ACCCAUUACUGACACUAUUAUAGUCUGUGCUGAUGCUGACACUGUUUAUAAUUUUUAUAUUAUUCGUAUAGUGUAAAACUGCCGCUGCCGUUGGCUACAUGGAGGAAAUAUUAUUUAGGCCCUAGAUAUUUCACGCGGUCGAAACGUGUCCGAAUGUUUAUAAAUAUUUUCCGAUAAAUGAGAUAAUAUUGUGCAACAUUUACAACGUUAACUCUUCUUAUUCGAGCACCAUGGAGUACAUACAAACGCAGAACAAAAUCCGACUGCUGUUUAAGAAGAUACUGGAGCCUGGUUAUGUUAUGGACAAUUAUUACGCAGAUCAACUCAUCGACAAGAUGGGAAACUGCGCCGACGAUCCAGCGUAAGCGACACUCAAUUAGAAAUAAUAUCUGAAGAUAAAGCUGCUAAAAUGAUACAAAAGUUUGAUACAAUUUGCCAAGCAAAAACAUGUGCAAGCAAAUUGCUGUGCAAAAGAAAAUUGUUUAAAUUAAAAAUGGCGGAUGAUGACAAUCCAGUCGAAUUUUUAGAUUUGUUCGAGAAGAAUAUGAUUGAAUUAAAAAUACCAGAGAGAAAAUUACUGAAGAAGACAAAUUACUAUUGAGUCUUCCACCCAGCUACUCACAUAUAGUUGACAUUGUUGAUGCAUUACCAGAAAAAUCGGUAGAAUAUAUUAAGGCUAAAUUGCUUCUGCAAUACAGAUAAAAGGAAGAGAAAGAGAGUGAUGUGAAAGGAAUGGAAUCUUUCAAUAUUUGCAAAAAAAAUGUCGACAUUACAAAUAGGAAACUGUAAACUGGAAAGUGUAAUCAACCGGGCCACUUCCAAAGAGACUGCCCAAGAAAUAGAAUAUUUAUUCCAAAUUGGCGCGGAAAUUAUAACUUUAGAGGGAACAGUAACUUACAAGGAUAUCAGAACUGGAGAGGUCAUAAUUACAGACGACCAAGUAACUUCCGAGGAAAACGUUAUAUUCGAGGCAUAAAUGAAACCCAAGGUAUGACUCGAGAAUGCUAUUUAAACCAAGGUGAGGAGUAUACUGGGAAAGGAUCGACAUUUAAUGUUGAAGUGAUGUCUUCUGAGAGAUAUCCAAUUUUAAAGAUUUAGAUUGUCCAGUCGACAUUGAGAUGGUGUUCCUUUGAAAGCGAGUAAAUUAGGAAAUGAUGUAUUUUUGUGUAAAAGGCAAAUGGCUUGAAACAAAAAUACAAAUGUUUAUUAAGUGUCAGAAUAAGAUGUUUAAUUUACCUUUUGAGAACAAUCGACGACGAGCGAAUGAAGUUUUAGAAAUAGAACGUAAAUGGUCCAGUAAAUCCCACAGGUAUUGAUGGUAUUCACCAUUUAUUUUCUAUCUUUUAUCGAUGACUAUAGUAGGAUUGCUAAAGUUUUUUGCAUUCAAUACAAAAGUGAAGUGUUGGAAUGUGUCUUGGAAUACAUGAAUUUUGUUGAAAAUGCAACUGGGAAAAGUAUAAAAGAGCUGCGAUGUGAUAAUGGAAGAGAAUACAUCAAUAAAGAUAUGUAGAGAUUGGGUAAAGAAAAAGGUAUGUACCAUAUAUAUACCAUAAAUCCAUGUCCACCAUAUACACAUGAAU